GGCUCGGUAGCUCAGCUGGUUAGAGCACAGCAUUCAUAACGCUGGGGUCGGGAGUUCAAGUCUCCCCCGAGCCA
rfam:Synechococcus sp. RCC307 genomic DNA sequence.